CCUGGCGGCACUAGCGCGGUGGUCCCACCUGACCCCAUGCCGAACUCAGAAGUGAAACGCCGUAGCGCCGAUGGUAGUGUGGGGUCUCCCCAUGUGAGAGUAGGGAAUUG
rnacentral:rRNA from 1 species